CCUGAUAGCAAACAAUCUUUCUUAAAGUUGUCACAUGACUAUUAUGGAAAUCGCAACAGGAAGAGAAAGUACGGAAAAGCUCAAGAAUUUAAAAAAAAGGAGGAACAACCUGAUGUCAUCACAAGCAACUACAGAGGCAUAAAAAGAAAGGUGAAGCAAGGAGAAAGUAUUCUACUGGUUCAUCCACAUGAAGCGACGAUCUUUUCAUCAAUCACUGAGCAGUCAGGCUGUGGGUAUGGCCAACGCACAGUGUGCAGUUCUGCUCCUGACUUUAGCUAUAGCAGUGCAGGAGUGUAAUGGGAUACCAGAAAGAACCAGGUGCACUUCACAACCACCAUGUUUUGACCUACUAAUUGUCGAGAGAAUGGCCCAGCGUGUCAGCAAGGAUGUGCCAGGUGCAGACAGUGACAACAUUUUAUUAAAGAGCAAAACGUAUGAUAAAAUUCGCCAAAAGAAGUACCUCCACAGUUGUGUCCUAGAAAAAAUCUUUGAAUUCUAUGAGAAUGUCCUAUCCAGUGACCAGUAUAUUCAAAACGAUGGUCGUGAACUGAUCUACACCUUGGACAGAGUGAGAAAUUGCACUUAUAAAGUGAAGAGAUGCGAGAUGUUGUAUCAAAAGGCUAACCACCAAGCUGACUUAGAGAUUGCCGAAUCGGAUAUGAGUGCACAGGAGGUGGCCAUCAUUCAGCUACAAAAACUUAACCACGCUAGUGAAAGAUUAAAUGACACAACCAUCCUAGAGACAGCCAUGGAUGAACUGAAGUCUCUUCAUCACUACAUCCCUGGGAGUGCCUUCCUAAAAAGUAAUGGCUGAAUAACAUCCCAGUAGACUCCACAUACAGACAUGUGAGCUUGUGAUUGAUGCCGUGCCUAGACAGGUCCAAAAAUCUAUAGUGAUGAUGACUAAUUGAAUGCAAUUAUACAUUCUAUAGAGCAUUUCUAUAUUGGAAAAUAUAUUUUUAAUAUGUCAGAUAUUUUUAAUAAAUAAGCUUUUCUCUUUUUUUUUUCUUUUCUUUUUUUUUACAUGCCUUAACAUACAGUUGUAAUCAAAAUUAUUUAACCCCCAUUGCAAAUCAGGUUUAUUGUCACAAUUUACAGACUUUCAGUUGUUUGCAAUGAACAAAUCAAACACAAGCAAUUGAAAUAGCUCAACACAACCAAUGCUUCAAGUGGUUUCCCCAAAUUCAACUGAAAAUGCAACUUAUAAUGAUUUCUCCAGUUUCAAAAUGAUUCAAACCCCUGAAUAGAAUCGCACACAACAGCACAAAUAUGCAAAACAGGCGUUGUCUCAAGCACACCUGAUACAACUAAUCAAGGGCUUCAUUAGUUACACCAGGUGUGGUUAAGCUGGAGCACAUGAAAUACAUGUCUUUGCAAUGGGGGUUGAAUCAUUUUGAUUGCAACUGUAUAUUCGUCUCUAAUUAAGUACAAUGCUUUUCACCAUUUUGGUAU
ensembl:lncRNA